AUGUCCACAUCAGUGUUGAAACACCUGUUCCUGUAUAAUCACUGAAGUUAAGCAAUGUCAAGCCUGGUCAGUAUCUCGAUGAGUGACUUCUUUGGAAUACCAGGUGCUAUA